GAUGAACGCUGGCGGCGUGCCUAAUACAUGCAAGUCGAGCGAACAGACGAGGAGCUUGCUCCUCUGACGUUAGCGGCGGACGGGUGAGUAACACGUGGAUAACCUACCUAUAAGACUGGGAUAACUUCGGGAAACCGGAGCUAAUACCGGAUAAUAUAUUGAACCGCAUGGUUCAAUAGUGAAAGACGGUUUUGCUGUCACUUAUAGAUGGAUCCGCGCCGCAUUAGCUAGUUGGUAAGGUAACGGCUUACCAAGGCAACGAUGCGUAGCCGACCUGAGAGGGGGAUCGGCCACACUGGAACUGAGACACGGUCCAAACCCCUACGGGAGGCAGCAGUAGGAAAUCUUCCGCAAUGGGCGAAAGCCUAACGGAGCAACGCCGCGUGGGUGAUGAAGGUCUUCGGAUCGUAAAACUCUUUUAUUAGGGAAGAAAAAAUGUGUAAGUAACUAUGCACGUUUUGACGGUACCAAAUCAGAAAGCCACGGCAAACUACGU
rnacentral:rRNA from 1 species